AUUGAACGCUAGCGGGAUGCUUUACACAUGCAAGUCGAACGAGUGGCGGACGGGUGAGUAAUAUAUCGGAACGUGCCCAGUAGCGGGGGAUAACUACUCGAAAGAGUGGCUAAUACCGCAUACUAUUGCAGCGGCCGAUAUCGGAUUAGCUAGGUGGUGGGGUAAAGGAUCGCCAAGGCAACGAUCCGUAGCUGGGUUGAGAGGACGACCAGCCACCCUGGGACUGAGACACGGCCCAGACUCCUCUGGGAGGGGGCAGUGGGGAAUGUUGGACAAUGGGGGCAACCCUGAUCCAGCCAUCCCGCGUGUAUGAGAAGGCCUUCGGGUUGUAAAGUACUUUUUGCAGUGAAGCGGUAUCUGCAGAAUAAGCACCGGCUAACUACGUGCCAGCAGCCGCGGUAAUUC
rnacentral:rRNA from 1 species